UACGUAGGGCGCAAGCGUUGUCCGGAAUUAUUGGGCGUAAAGAGCUCGUAGGCGGUGUGUCACGUCGAUCGUGAAAACUUACAGCUUAACUGUGAGCGUGCGGUCGAUACGGGCAUCACUGGAGUUCGGCAGGGGAGACUGGAAUUCCUGGUGUAGCGGUGAAAUGCGCAGAUAUCAGGAGGAACACCGGUGGCGAAGGCGGGUCUCUGGGCCGAUACUGACGCUGAGGAGCGAAAGCGUGGGGAGCGAACAGG
rnacentral:rRNA from 1 species